GGAAAAGUUUCCAUUGGUAGGGUAAGGCUUUUGCUAAAGGUUGUGUUAUGCACUUGGGUGUUCGAUUCACCUCUUUUCCG